rnacentral:lncRNA from 1 species
GCUUUCGGGGGCAGACUCAGUACUUUUCAGUUUGCCUUUAUUUUGGGUUAGUUUUUAUUUUUUAAAUUGCUUUUUAUGUUUUUAUUGAUUGACUGAUUGAUUGAUUGGUUGAGACAGGGUCUCGCUCUGUCACCCAGGCUGGGGUGCAGUGGCACCAUCUCAGCUCACUGCAACCUCUACCACCCCCACCCUCCACCAGCCCCAGGCUCAAGCAAUCCUCCCACCUACACUACUCUCCCAUCAGUCACUCAGCAGCUGCCUCAGUUACCAGAUCAACUGUCGCAGGAUCACGGUGCUUCUGUUCAAGUAAUCCUUAUUUUACUUCAUUAUGGGCUCCAAAGCGCAAGAGGAGUGUUGCUGGUGAUUCCGAUAUGCCAAAGGGAAGCUGUUAAGUACUUCCUUUAAGUAGAAAGGUGAAAGUACUUGACUUAAUAAGAAAAUUUAAAAAACAAAAUUGUAUGCUGUGGUUGCUAAGAUCUACAGUAAGAAUGAUUCUAUUCAUGAAAUCGUGAAGAAGGAAAGAAAUUUGUGCUAGUUUUGCAACUCAAGCUGCAAAAGUUACAACACCUGUGUGUGAUGAGUGCUUAGUAAUGAUGGAAAAGCCAUUAAAUUUGUGGGUGCAAGACACGAACAGAAACGUUCUGAUUGAU